UAUUACUUUGUGUCUCUUAGUCAACCUGAUCUGUUAUGUGUUCGUGGGGAGAGCAUCAUGGGCAUGUCCACACCAGUGUCCACCCCAUGUCCACCCCAUGGCCACCCCAUGCCCACUCCCCCCGCACUCGCCCAUGCUGUCGCACAGACCAAAGCAGGCACUCCCGCACCCACUCCCUCAUAUCGAGGGGCACCAUCCAGCACCCUUCCCCCACUAAUGAUCCUUCCGCAGGUUCACCUACGGAAA
rnacentral:misc_RNA from 1 species